GGGAUGUGCGGCAGCCUACCAUGCAAGUCGAACGGUAGCACAGAGAGCUUGCUCUCGGGUGACGAGUGGCGGACGGGUGAGUAAUGUCUGGGAAACUGCCUGAUGGAGGGGGAUAACUACUGGAAACGGUAGCUAAUACCGCAUAAUGUCGCAAGACCAAAGAGGGGGACCUUCGGGCCUCUUGCCAUCAGAUGUGCCCAGAUGGGAUUAGCUAGUAGGUGGGGUAACGGCUCACCUAGGCGACGAUCCCUAGCUGGUCUGAGAGGAUGACCAGCCACACUGGAACUGAGACACGGUCCAGACUCCUACGGGAGGCAGCAGUGGGGAAUAUUGCACAAUGGGCGCAAGCCUGAUGCAGCCAUGCCGCGUGUAUGAAGAAGGCCUUCGGGUUGUAAAGUA
rnacentral:rRNA from 1 species